UGGCUGUACCAACAACAGAUCGUGUGAUCAGGUUUCUCUGCAUCUUCACCACCGUUUGAUAUUUUCACCAUAUUUCAGGAGCAGUGUUCCAAGUUCAUUGAGAUGGGGAACUUGGAAAACUACAGAGCACUUGACUUUACUGGACGCUUCAUAAAGAUGCUGGUGUAUUGGUGGAACAGGCCUUGCCCACUUGGCAGACAUUGCAUGGAUAACACCCGUGGUCUCAACAAGAAGUACCUGGAGUGGGUAUCAAACAAAUGUCCAGAACGCUCAUACCUACUACCAGUGCCACUACCCGCCCUGCAUCAGGAUGGAGAAGCAGCUCCAAGAGUUUGGCAUCUGUGGGCGGUGCCAAGUGGCCUGCUACUGUGGCCCCCAGAAGACCCUGCCUGCCCACAGAAGCACAGC